UAUUGUGUGAUAACGAGGUUAUGAUGAU
rnacentral:piRNA from 1 species